GACGAACGCUGGCGGCGUGCCUAAUACAUGCAAGUCGAGCGGGAAACUUCGGUUUCCAGCGGCGAACGGGUGAGUAACACGUGGGCAACCUGCCCUCAAGCUUGGGAUAACUCCGGGAAACCGGGGCUAACACCAAAUAAUCUUUUCUCUCGCAUGAGGGAAAAGUAAAAGUUUACACUUGAGGAUGGGCCCGCGGUGCAUUAGCUUGUUGGUGAGGUAACGGCUCACCAAGGCAACGAUGCAUAGCCGACCUGAGAGGGUGACCGGCCACACUGGGACUGAGACACGGCCCAGACUCCUACGGGAGGCAGCAGUAGGGAAUUUUCCGCAAUGGGCGCAAGCCUGACGGAGCAACGCCGCGUGAGUGAAGACGGCCUUCGGGUUGUAAAGCUCUGUUCUUGGGGAAGAAACAAAUGACGGUACCCAAGCAGAAAGCCCCGGCUAACUACGUGCCAGCCGCCGCCGUAACAC
rnacentral:rRNA from 1 species